rnacentral:lncRNA from 1 species
GAAAUUGAAUUAUUUUAUAAAGAUUUAAUAUGACUUAUAUUAUAAAUAUAUGUAUGAUUUUGGAUAAAAUAUAAAAGACAUGUUGUUGAUAUUACAUAAAUUGCUCGGGACAUGGUCACAUCUCACAUGCAUAAGAUUAUUCAACAAAAUAUAUGACAAAAAGUUAAUAACACGAACACACAAAUCUAAGCUCCCAAAAAGUUUUAAGAAAUAUUUUUUUAAAGAGAAACCUGCCAAACAACUACGAUGUCUAACAAUUCACAUUACUAACAUAACACACGAAAAUAAGUUAUUGUCCAACUUGUCCCACGCACCAAAUCUCCUACAAUCACAUGGCACAUAACUCAAAUCCACGAAACCUAACAACAAAACAUCUAAACACAUGCGAUGACAUACACAAUGUUCAACUUAAAUCCAACACACAUUACAAUCAACAACCCGCACGAAGCGCGGACAAACCA